rnacentral:sRNA from 19 species
GUAAGCAACCCCCGGAUUAAAUCCGGGGGCUUCAGCAGACUCCGUUCUGAUUGAAGCCCUAGCUUACCAGACUAAGUACCUUGAGUACUACGUUAUUGGCAAGUGCCGAAGUUCCUACCCUGGAAUGCGUAGCUAGUUCCAGGCUCUAGA